CCUUCUGGCAAAGGCUCUUGACCUGGGACUCUGACAGCUCUUUGUACCCUUCAGCCAUUCGAUCCACUGGUCCAGCUCCUUGGUGAAUACCUU
rnacentral:pre_miRNA from 1 species